rnacentral:misc_RNA from 1 species
GAUGAAGAACGUAGCGAAAUGCGAUAAGUAAUGUGAAUUGCAGAAUUCAGUGAAUCAUCGAAUCUUUGAACGCACAUUGCGCCCGCCAGUAUUCUGGCGGGCAUGCCUGUCCGAGCGUCAUUUCAACCAUCAAGCCCCAGGCUUGUGUUGGGGACCUGCGGCUGCCGCAGGCCCUGAAAACCAGUGGCGGGCUCGCUGUCACACCGGGCGUAGUAGAUUUUAUCUCGCUCAGGGCGUGCUGCGGGUUCCGGCCGUUAAAAAGCCUUUUUUACCCAAGGUUGACCUCGGAUCAGGUAGGAAGACCCGCUGAACUUAAGCAUAUCAAUAAGCGGAGGA